GCGGCAGCUGCACUAGCCCCAGCGCUGACAUAUUUAAAAGCUACUUCUGUCACAGCAGGUCUAUUUGAGAUGUUUUUUCCCAAAGGAGAACCCAGGGCUCUCCUGGAAGAAUCAGACUGUUGGAGGAAACAGUGGGGAGCAAUUCCUUGGUAGCUGAGGACUGCUGAGGCUUCCGAGUGUAAGUCCCGCCCACGAGCGUCCUGACUGGCGCAGGGUCACACUGCUGCACACGUCCCCUGCUGCGCACGAGCCUUCGCGUUGGCGUGCUCUGUGCACAUCCGCGCCGCGGGCGCCAUUUUCCCGCUGUGUUCUGUCUUGCUGCCUGCCUGAGACACAGUGAAAACAUGAGUGGCACAAGAGCAACAUCUAGAGCUAUGGGAGGAGGAAAUGCAGAAGAAAGUUUCCAAGAGCAAAUUGAACCUGUGGAGCCCCAGCAAUCUGGUGCUGAAGUACUUCAACUGGAGGAGCCAGCAGUUGAAAAUCAGGAGAUUCCAGUUGAUCAAGAUAUAGAAGAGGAGGGAGAACCUGAGGCUGAAGGGCCCCACGUGGAACCAGAUGUCCAGGAAAAUCUUCAGCUUGACCCUGGAGAUGUAUAUGAAAAUGGUCCUGAAUUCAAUGAGACAGCACCUCACAACUAGAGCACUACAGUGCCAGAGGCAGAUACUUCUGGUGUUGGAGAAUGAGUUUGGAUGGAUUUGCUCCCUUCUGAUAUUUGAGAACAGGUUGAGAAGGAUUGGUGUUCUUCCUUAAAAGUUCGAUGGACUUCAGCAUUGGUCCAUAGAUUUUCUUUGCUGGCGACUUUUCAUUACUGAGCUACUGGUGUUUUCAUGUUUUCUGUGUCUUCAUGGUUCAGUUUUGGUAAGGUAUGGAUAUCCAGAAAUUAAUUCAUCUCUAUUUUAGGUUUUCCAAUUUGUAGGUGUAUGGUUGUUUAUAGUAGUCCCAAAUAGCCGUUUGUAUUUCUGUGAUAUCAUUUGCAACAUAUCCUAUUCUGUGAUUUUACGGAGAAAGUAUUUAAUAUGCUAGAAAUCAUACAUUAUUUAUCAAAUCCCAGUAGUACCAGAAUCUAAACAUCACAGGCACCAUGGAUUUUUCCAUGUGGACAAGUUGUCGAUCAAACACAGUUCCAUUUAUUAACAAAUGCUUGUCUUUUCCAGGUGUCUCACUCUGCUUCUCAUUUCUGUCUCCAUUCCAUUCUCUGUUCGUUUCAUCAUUUCCUUUCUUGUCUCAAACGGUGAGACUUGGCAUAUGUAUCAUCACAGUUUGAUGGCAAAAAUGAUGGUGAUAGCAGAAAAUUUGUGUGACAGUGUAAUUCACUAUACAAACAUGAAUGCUUUCAAAUUUAAAAGGAAGUGUUAUUCAUAUGUACAGGUGGAAUAAAUGUGAAAACUGGAAACAAAUGAUUACACUUGCUUCUAAAAGAAACAUUAAAUGUAAAGAAAUAUUUUUGCACAUCUGCCCAAUCAAGGAGAAAACAAAUGCAAUACUGACUUUUCGUUGCAUUUCACUUAGGCAGUUCCAAUGUGACGACAUUAACAGUUGUAUCAGUGUUGUGUUCAGAAUAUGAUUUCAAACCAAAACAUCAAUCUUCAAAAAAGUAUACAUUUGCUGUUGGUAGGGAGAGAUGGCACCACACACACAGGCAGAGAGAGAGGCAGGCAGCUAGAGCCAGACCGAGCCAGUGAACUUGCUUCCAUUGGUUCACUUCCCAGAUGUCUGCAACAGCGGGGCUGUCUCAGGCUGAAACAAGGAGCCAGGAAAUCCAUCCGAGUUUCCUGCGUGGAUGUCAGGAACCCAAUUACCAUUCCGAUGACACGGGGGGUGUCAGGGCAGUCCAGGCUGUGCCGGUGACAUGGGCGGUGUCAGGGCAUCCUAGGCUGUGCCAGUGACACAGGUGGUGGCCGGGCACUCUAGGCUGUGCAGUCUGCAGAGUGGAGCUUCAGGGCAGGCCUGUGGCUGGUUCCCUUGGGGCCCUGCAUUUCCUAAGAUGGUUCCCCUGCACAGCCCGGCCCGUCUUAUAAAGAACUCAGGGGGAUCCCGAGAGGAAACAGCGAAACCUGGAAGCUGGAGGCAGCCUCUCUGCCCACCUUUGUCCAGGUCGGUGCAGUGAUUCUACUGUCCUAAGGGCAGCGGACAUACUCCCCACGCAGUUUGGAAAAGCCGCUGCAGCGCAGCUCAGACGCCCCCGUCCAUCCCAUGUGCCCACUCCCUCUCGGCACCAGGCCCACGGGCCACCUGCUCAGUGACACCAGGCCCAUUGGUUCCCCUGAAGAUUGAGGCUGCAGUCGCUCCCCAGCCCCGUCCAGGAGGACGUGUGCACAGGUGCGCAGGAGCACCAGUCACCUGCUCUCGGGUCUCCACUUUACCAGGGCCCGAUCAGAUGAGGGUGACCGGUCCUGGAGCCACCAUGGUGCCAACGCUUGGGUGGCCACUCACAUCUGGUGAGGUGGUGCAGUGUCCCUGGAGGAGAGCGGCGGAAGCCCCAUUCUGUUCCCAGUUUGCUGAGAAUACUUAUCUUGAGUACUGCUAACUUUCAUCAGUCACUUGUAGUGUGACUGCUAGGAUGAUCUUAGACCUUCUUCCACCGUGAAUCCAUAAAGUUGGUGUAUUACACUGGUACGAUUCUAUGUUUAUUCACU